rfam:Loxodonta africana unplaced genomic scaffold scaffold_108, whole genome shotgun sequence.
GCCUGGGUAGCUCAUUUGGUAGAGCAUCAGACUUUUAAUCUGAGGGUCCAGGGUUCAAGUCCCUGUUCAGGAG